rnacentral:lncRNA from 1 species
AAAUCCAACAUUUUGUUGGAUAAUCCCACUAACUCUUAGUGGGAUAUGUGGCUAUAUGAGAUAUAGACACCUAGCCCACUAAGUUCCACUAAUUGUUAGUGGAAUAUUAGGUGUUGAGAUUUGGCAAUUGAAUUGCAUGCAUUUUUGCAUGUAAUUAGGCUAUAAAUAGAGAUGUUUUCAAAUGUUGAAGGACUUUUGCCUCUUUUAUCAUUUUCAUCAUCUCAACAAAAGAAAAAAGAAAGCUUCCAAUCUCAUUUUAUCUCCAUUAUUUUCUACACCAAAAUUGGGUCCCACAACCCGGUUCUUUGUCCAGAGGAUAGCAGUUGAGUACUAGUGGUGGUCUCGGGUAGAAUUGGUAAGAAGACAUCAAACCUUUUGAAAGCUUCAAAGGUAAUACUUCUUAAAACCCUAAUUUGAUUAGUUUAUGGUUACAUGUUAAUUGUGGCAAUUAGGGUAGAAAUUCGAUUCUUUUUCCGCUGUGCAUGACUUAGUUCUAUCAAGGACGUGGAUGAAGGAUUGUGAUUGGCUUCUAGCCUAGCUCAACCCACAUGAUGGAUGGCUCUAUGUGCACAUAGGAGCGUGGAUAUGGCGGUUGCUACUGCGGUAGGUACUAAGUAUGCAUGAGCUCAGUUUGACCACGUGUUUUCCUGUCGAUAUGGAUCGCGUGUGAACUAUUCUCGACCGUGUAUUUAGUAUUCUAUCAUGCUUGGAUUGGAUGCAGGUUGCUACUGUGGCAGAUACUAAAUAUGCGUGAGCUUAGUCUAGUCGCGUGUUUAUUUGUGGAUAUGGAUAUCGUGUGAGCUAUUAUCGGUCGUGUAUUUAGUAUUCUACCAUGGUUGGUUGGAUGGAUGUCGCUAUUGUGGCAAGUACUAAAUGUACUCGAGCUUGUUUUGCCACGUGAUUUUUCUUGAUCGUUUGCGAGCUAUUAUUAUCUCGACCGUAUAUUUAGGCGCUCUGCUAUGGCCGACCCUCAUAUGGUACUGGUUUGUUGGCAAAUACAUGCGAUUUAUCGUAAUAUGUGAUAGUGACGUUUCAAUUAUUAAUUCAUUAUCGAUUCCUUAUUUAAACAGUUGUUAGAGUAUGUUUACGAGCUUUAAUUCUAAAAGAAAUAGAGAAAAACAGUUUCAAUGUAUAUACUUAAGUUUUAUAUAUAUUGUAGCAUGGGGUGGUUAGAAGUAGCGAUUGUAACAUUAUGGCAUGUAUUUGAGAGAUCUCUUAGUGGACUGUAAUUCCUCUGUAACUAAAUUCCUUGUUUGGAUAUAAACUCUUAUUGAGACUCUAGACUAGCUUGGAUGAGUGUGUAUGAGACGCACUCAAUGCGGUUAUGAGUCUGAAGAUUAUAAUUAAGUAUAGAAUUCUCUUUUA